GCUCAGUGGUAGGGCACCUGCUUAACAAGUACAAGGCCCUGGGUUCAAUUCCCAG
rnacentral:tRNA from 1 species